UACAUGGGGUGCAAACGUUGCUCGGAAUUAUUGGGCGUAAAGCGCGCGUAGGCGGUUAUCUAAGUCGGAUGUGAAAGCCCUCGGCUUAACUGAGGAAGUGCACCCGAAACUGGAUAGCUAGAGUACGAAAGAGGGUCGCGGAAUUCCCGGUGUAGAGGUGAAAUUCGUAGAUAUCGGGAGGAACACCGGUGGCGAAGGCGGCGACCUGGGUAGAUACUGACGCUGAGGCGCGAAAGCGUGGGGAGCAAACAGG
rnacentral:rRNA from 1 species